rnacentral:rRNA from 1 species
AUUGAACGCUGGCGGCAGGCCUAACACAUGCAAGUCGAGCGAGCGGCGGACGGGUGAGUAAUGUAUGGGGAUCUGCCCGAUAGAGGGGGAUAACUACUGGAAACGGUAGCUAAUACCGCAUACUAUCGGAUGAACCCAUAUGGGAUUGGCUGGUGGGUGGGGUAAAGGCUAACCAGGGCGACGAUCCCUAGCUGGUCUGAGAGGAUGACCAGCCACACUGGAACUGAGACACGGCCCAGACUCCUACGGGAGGCAGCAGUGGGGAAUAUUGCACAAUGGGCGCAAGCCUGAUGCAGCCAUGCCGCGUGUAUGAAGAAGGCCUUAGGGUUGUAAAGUACUUUCAGCGGGGAGGCGUUACCCGCAGAAGAAGCACCGGCUAACUCCGUGCCAGCAGCCGCGGUAAUAC